rnacentral:rRNA from 1 species
UACAGAGGUGGCAAGCGUUGUUCGGAAUUACUGGGCGUAAAGGGCGCGUAGGCGGUUCGUUAAGUCCUGUGUGAAAUCCCCCGGCUCAACUGGGGAACUGCACAGGAAACUAGCGGGCUUGAGUUCGGGAGAGGGAAGCGGAAUUCCGGGUGUAGCGGUGAAAUGCGUAGAUAUCCGGAGGAACACCGGUGGCGAAGGCGGCUUCCUGGACCGACACUGACGCUGAGGCGCGAAAGCUAGGGGAGCAGGCGGG